rnacentral:tRNA from 1 species
GGAGGGGUUGAGGAGCGGUUAUCCUCGGUGGUCUUGAAAACCACUACUGCAUAAUAUGUAGUCGUGGGUUCGAAUCCCACCCCCUCCGCCA